UAAGCAUAUCAAUAAGCGGAGGAAAAGAAACCAACAGGGAUUGCCUUAGUAACGGCGAGUGAAGCGGCAACAGCUCAAAUUUGAAAGCUGGCCCUUUUAGGGUCCGCAUUGUAAUUUGUAGAGGAUGAUUCGGCGAGGGCUCCUGCCUAAGUCCCCUGGAACGGGGCGUCAUAGAGGGUGAGAAUCCCGUAUGCGGUAGGUUGCCUUAGCCAUGUGAAUCUCCUUCGACGAGUCGAGUUGUUUGGGAAUGCAGCUCUAAAUGGGAGGUAAAUUUCUUCUAAAGCUAAAUACCGGCCAGAGACCGAUAGCGCACAAGUAGAGUGAUCGAAAGAUGAAAAGCACUUUGGAAAGAGAGUUAAAAAGUACGUGAAAUUGUUGAAAGGGAAGCGCUUGCAACCAGACUUGUCCGCAGUUGCUCAGCCGGUCUCCUGACCGGCGUACUCUUCUGCGGCCAGGCCAGCAUCAGUUCGGGCGGUCGGAUAAAGGCCUCGGGAAUGUAGCUCCUCUCGGGGAGUGUUAUAGCCCGGGGUGGAAUGCGGCCAGCCUGGACUGAGGAACUCGCUUCGGCAAGGAUGCUGGCGUAAUGGUUGUAAGCGGCCGCA
rnacentral:rRNA from 1 species